rnacentral:rRNA from 1 species
CGAGAGUGCAAGCGUUAAUCGGAAUAACUGGGCGUAAAGCGCACGUAGGUGGAUAUUUAAGUCGGAUGUGAAAGCCCUAGGCUUAACCUAGGAACUGCAUCCGAUACUGGGUAUCUAGAGUAUAGUAGAGGGAAGUGGAAUUUCCGGUGUAGCGGUGAAAUGCGUAGAUAUCGGAAAGAACACCAGUGGCGAAGGCGGCUUCCUGGACUAAUACUGACACUGAGGUGCGAAAGCGUGGGGAGCAAACAGGGAUUAGAUACCCUGGUAGUCCACGCCGUCAACGAUGAGAACUAGACGUUGGGAGGGUAACCUCUUAGUGUCGAAGCUAACGCGUUAAGUUCUCCGCCUGGGGGAGUACGGCCGCAAGGUUA